rnacentral:rRNA from 1 species
GACGAACGCUGGCGGCGUGCCUAAUACAUGCAAGUCGAGCGAAUCUUGAGGUGCUUGCACCCCUUGGUUAGCGGCGGACGGGUGAGUAACACGUGGGCAACCUGCCUGUAAGACUGGGAUAACUUCGGGAAACCGGCGCUAAUACCGGAUAAUCCUUUUCCUCCCAUGAGGAAAAGCUGAAAGUCGGUUUACGCUGCACCUUACAGCUUGCCCCGCGGCGCAUUAGCUAGUUGGUGAGGUAACGGCUCACCAAGGCGACGAUGCGUAGCCGACCUGAGAGGGUGAUAGGCCACACUGGGACUGAGACACGGCCCAGACUCCUACGGGAGGCAGCAGUAGGGAAUCUUCCGCAAUGGACGAAAGUCUGACGGAGCAACGCCGCGUGAGCGAUGAAGGCCUUCGGGUCGUAAAGCUCUGUUGUUAGGGAAGAACAAGUAUCGGAGUAACUGCCGGUACCUUGACGGUACCUAACCAGAAAGCCACGGCUAACUACGUGCCAGCCGCCGCCGUAAGAC